rnacentral:rRNA from 1 species
CCAUAGGUGCUCGACCAAAUCUUGUGCCAGCAGUCGCGGUAAGACAAGGGAGACGAGUGUUAUUCAUCUUUAACAGGUAUAUAGGGUACCUAGACGGUGUGCAAUGGCUUAAAUAAGUACCUGGUACACUUGAGUUUGAUAUGUGAGAGGAAUAUGUCGGAAUUGUUGGAGGAAAGAUGAAAUUUGUUAAUACCAAUAGGACUGAUAACGGCGAAGGCAAACCUCUAUGUACAUGUACUUGCUAUUUCUGUUUUUAUUAUAGCAAAAUAGCAAUGUACUAUAACUGACGUUGAGGGACGAAGGCUCAGAGAGUGAAGAGGAUUAGAUACCCCCGUAACCUGGGCAGACAAUGAUGAGUGCCAUAGGUUGGCUUUAAGGCGGAACUAUAAAUGAAAGUGGAAGCACUCCACCUCAAGAGUAAUGU